GUGUCCAAGGAUGGGAAUCGAACCCACAGUAAUCCGCUUACCGGGCAGAUGCCAUGUCCACUAGGUAAUUGACCA
rnacentral:tRNA from 1 species